UUAACUCAAAUUUGUAUGGAGUUGUAACGCUUGUCAACGUUUGCUACUAAGAGUACUUUUCGAACUGCAUACAAAUUUGCGUUA
rnacentral:pre_miRNA from 1 species